rnacentral:rRNA from 1 species
AUUGAACGCUGGCGGCAGGCCUAACACAUGCAAGUCGAACGAGUGGCGGACGGGUGAGUCAUGUCUGGGGAACUGCCUGAUGGAGGGGGAUAACUACUGGAAACGGUAGCUACUACCGCAUACCAUCAGAUGACCCCAUAUGGGAUUAGCUAGUAGGUGGGGUAACGGCUCACCUAGGCGACGAUCCCUAGCUGGUCUGAGAGGAUGAUCAGCCACACUGGGACUGAGACACGGUCCAGACUCCUACGGGAGGCAGCAGUGGGGAAUAUUGCACAAUGGGCGCAAGCCUGAUGCAGCCAUGCCGCGUGUAUGAAGAAGGCCUUCGGGUUGUAAAGUACUUUCAGUCGGGAGGCGUUACCGACAGAAGAAGCACCGGCUAACUCCGUGCCAGCAGCCGCGGUAAUUC